GGCGACUGGCGGGGUCGGCGUUGCAGCGGCUGCCUGCUGUGCAGCUGGCGCUGCGGCUGCAGGGCUAUCCGGCGUUUCUAUCACGCCUGCUGCCA
rnacentral:tRNA from 1 species